UCAUCAUGAGUAAACCUUCUAACAAUCUUUGAAAAUUCAUUUCCCAGAAAAUAUAAUGUCCUCGGCUGGCAAUAACGUCUCUGUGCUCUGAUAAGCCAAUCCUGGUGUAUCGUGGAACUCUGUCAAUCGUUGGAACAAUGAGUUUCAGCUGGUCCCUGAUGUACAGAUGCCAGGCACCUUUGAUCAAAAUCUAUGGAGGAAGAACCAUGUGGUCAUCACCUUCAUACCUGGAUGUGUUUAUAUUUGCAUCCUAAUCUUUGAGAUUUUGAGUCUCCAGAGGAAAUCUUCUGCGGGGGUUGCUGCAGGAUCUAUGUGCAAGUCUCUUUGCUUGCCUUCUAUACAUGGAUAAAACAGUCUCUUGAUACUGAACAGACUGUUCUAGCUGAUAAGCCCAGGUUUAGAAGAUACUCUACAGUCAAGAAGCCUGGCCACCAUAAGAACAAGUCACAUCUUGUGGAAAUAUUGAAAAGCGCUUAUGCACAGGAGAAAUGUGAAAGGAUGAAAGGCUCAUCAGACAUUCCAAUGUAAGAGAGUCUGACAGAUUCGGAUCAGAGGUCACCUUUGAAACCUAGAUUAGGAAGAAGGUCCCACCUCGCAGAAGAAGCCUUUUGCUGAUGCUGAUGCAUCCUGGACUAUGAUUGUGAAACUUGUUUGUGGAUACCGGUUCCAGGAAUCUUGGGCCAGGUAUCCACAGUCCUCCUUGCAUACCUC